rnacentral:rRNA from 1 species
GACGAACGCUGGCGGCGUGCUUAACACAUGCAAGUCGAACGGAAAGGCCCUGCUUUUGUGGGGUGCUCGAGUGGCGAACGGGUGAGUAACACGUGAGUAACCUGCCCUUGACUUUGGGAUAACUUCAGGAAACUGGGGCUAAUACCGGAUAGGAGCUCCUGCUGCAUGGUGGGGGCUGGAAAGUUUCGUCGGUUGGGGAUGGACUCGCGGCUUAUCAGCUUGUUUGUGGGGUAGUGGCUUACCAAGGCUUUGACGGGUAGCCGGCCUGAGAGGGUGACCGGCCACAUUGGGACUGAGAUACGGCCCAGACUCCUACGGGAGGCAGCGGUGGGGAAUAUUGCACAACGGGCGGAAGCCUGAUGCAGCAACGCCGCGUGCGGGAUGACGGCCUUCGGGUUGUAAACCGCUUUCGCCUGUGACGAAGCGUGAGUGACGGUAAUGGGUAAAGAAGCACCGGCUAACUACGUG